GACGAACGCUGGCGGCGUGCUUAACACAUGCAAGUCGAACGGAAAGGCCCUGCUUUUGUGGGGUGCUCGAGUGGCGAACGGGUGAGUAACACGUGAGUAACCUGCCCUUGACUUUGGGAUAACUUCAGGAAACUGGGGCUAAUAUCGGAUAGGAUCUCCUGCUGCAUGGUGGGGGUUGGAAAGUUUCGGCGGUUGGGGCUGGACUCGCGGCUUAUCAGCUUGUUGGUGGGGUAGUGGCUUACCAAGGCUUUGACGGGUAGCCGGCCUGAGAGGGGGACCGGCCUCAUUGGGACUGAGGGACGGCGCAGACUCCUACGUGAGGCAGCAGUGGGAAAUAUUGCACAGUGGGCGGGAGCCUGAUACAGCAACGCCGCGUGCGGAAUGACGGCCUUCGGGUUGUGAACCGCUUUCGCCUGUGACGAAGCGUGAGUGACGGUAAUGAGUAAAUAAGCACCGGCUAACUACGUG
rnacentral:rRNA from 1 species